ACUAGCGACCAAAGCGGAAGGGUUACACCUGUUCCCGUUCCGAACACAGAAGUUAAGCCUUCCAGCGAUCUGGGCUGUACUGUCGAACAGAUGGGAAACCCAGGACGUUGCUAGUA
rnacentral:rRNA from 1 species